UACGUAGGUGGCGAGCGUUGUCCGGAUUUAUUGGGCGUAAAGCGCGCGCAGGUGGUCCGUUAAGUCCUGUGUGAAAUCUCCCGGCUCACCCGGGAGGGGGCGCGGGAUACUGGGGGACUGGAGGCAGGUAGAGGCCGGUGGAAUUCCCGGUGUAGUGGUGAAAUGCGUAGAGAUCGGGAGGAACACCAGUGGCGAAGGCGACUUCUUGGCCUGUUCUUGACGCUGAGGCGCGAAAGCUGGGGGAGCAAACGGG
rnacentral:rRNA from 1 species